GACGAACGCUGGCGGUGUGCCUAACACAUGCGAGUCGAACGGUAAGGCCCUUUCGGGGGUACACGAGUGGCGAACGGGUGAGUAACACGUGAGUAACCUGCCCUCAUCUCUGGGAUAACAGUCGGAAACGGUUGCUAAUACUGGAUAUGAGCUUGCAAGGCAUCUUGUGGGUUGGAAAGAUUUUUUUGGUUGGGGAUGGACUCGCGGCCUAUCAGCUUGUUGGUGAGGUAGUGGCUCACCAAGGCUUCGACGGGUAGCCGGCCUGAGAGGGCGACCGGCCACAUUGGGACUGAGAUACGGCCCAAACUCCUACGGGAGGCAGCAGUGGGGAAUAUUGCACAAUGGACGGAAGUCUGAUGCAGCAACGCCGCGUGCGGGAUGACGGCCUUCGGGUUGUAAACCGCUUUCAAUUGUGACGAAGCUUUUUGUGACGGUAGCAGUAGAAGAAGCACCGGCUAACUACGUG
rnacentral:rRNA from 1 species